GCAAUAUGCCAGACCCAAGAAUGCAGAAGAGCUGAAGGCCACUUGAGAGCAACCCUGGGCUCUCAUAACACCUGAGCAGUGCCACAGACUGAUCGACUCCAUGCCAUGCUGCAUUGCUGCAGUAAUUCAGGCAAAAGGAGCCCCAACUAAGUAUUGAGUGCUGUACAUGCUCAUACUUUUCAUGUUCAUACUUUUCAGUUGGACAAGAUUUCUAAAAAUCCUUUCUUUGUAUUGGUCUUAAGUUAUAUUCUAAUUUUCUGAGAUACUGAAUUUGGGAUUUUCCUUAGUUGUCAGUUAUAAUCAUCAAAAUUAAAAGAAAUAAACAUUUGAAAUAUAUCAGUCUGUGUGUAAUGAAUGAUUAUAAUAUACAAGUUUCACUUUUUGAAUGAAAUUAGUGAAAUCAACUUUUUGAUGAUAUUCUAAUUAUAUGACCAGCACCUGUAUAGUUUGUCAAGAUUAAAUUUGUCCCGUUUCAUUUAAUCUAUUCAUAAACAUUUACACGUGCAAACAAGAAGGGUUCAGUGCGCCCACGUCCUGGUGAACGCUAAGAGAUUUUAAUACACAAGUUUCACAGUUUGAGUUAAAUUACUGAAAUAAAUGAACUUUUCCACAACAUUCUAAUUUAUUGAGAUGCACCUGUAUACAGUGACUGCAUAAACACCUCAGGUGUGCAUCUUUUUUUAAUAAUUCAACAGCCCAUCAUCAAUUAUUCCUUACUUAAAACUGCUAGUAUAACAGACUAUAAACAGACCUGUGCUAUGCCAGUAGGAGAAGUUUUGCACCUGUCUAAUUAAAUGACUAAAGUAACAUGCUUGCAGAUUGAGUGGCGAUCAGAGAAUGAAAGGACAUCUGAAGGACAGCCAGGAUGAACAGGAGCAACACAGAAACGCACUUCCUCUACGCAGGCUGUCCUUGAGCGCCUCUGUGCUUUGCUGCGGUGAAGAGCUGGAGGAGAACUGAUCUGCUGAUAUUUGAGUGUGAGUGGAGCAGGUUGGCAGUGAUGUUAUCUCCCUCCCCAGUAAAGACCAAUGAGCUCAUGUAAUUUAGAUUAAUGGCAGGGGGGCUUUUCCAUGCUUGGGUCACUGCCUGAAAACUCCCUAGAAAGGAGAGGAUGAAUUCUCGUUCUCUCAUCUGAUCCCAAUAGCCAGAUCCCAGCUUUCCAUUUCCAUUUUUUCCCUGCUUGCUCUGUUUAGGGUCUCGGAGACCCCAACGGCAAUUUAAUAGACUGGAAAAUAUACUUACCUUUGAACGUUCAAGUCAAUAUUUUCCCAAAUCUUAUGAAAGUAUAAACAAGGUUUGACAAAUCUUC
ensembl:lncRNA